AGUCGCCGCGGGAAUACGUAGGUGGCAAGCGUUGUCCGGAAUUAUUGGGCGUAAAGGGCUCGCAGGCGGUUUCUUAAGUCUGAUGCGAAAGCCCCCGGCUCAACCGGGGAGGGUCAUUGGAAACUGGGAAACUUGAGUGCAGAAGAGGAGAGUGGAAUUCCACGUGUAGCGGUGAAAUGCGAAGAGAUGUGGAGGAACACCAGUGGCGAAGGCGACUCUCUGGUCUGUAACUGACGCUGAGGGGCGAAAGCGUGGGGAGCGAACAGGAUUAGAUACCCGCGUAGUCCCUGUCUCUUAUACC
rnacentral:rRNA from 1 species